rnacentral:lncRNA from 1 species
AAAAAAAGUAAUACUAACCAAAUAAAUUAAGAAAAUCUCAAAAAGGAACUAAGAAAAUUAACAUGCACACUUCUGUUAGAAGAACAACAUAAAGAAACACAGUAGAAGAACAACAUAAAGAACACAGUAGAACAUGUUACAAAUCAAAAAAGCUUUGAAAUAAUUUAACAAACCCUAAACAGAAAAGAAAAAGGUUCUGAAGGCAAGGUUUUGAAAGAAACCUUGAGGAAACGUUUAAGACAUUAGAGUAAACACAGAUUUAAAAUGGAUCUAAAAGAAUCGAAAGAACCUCGAAGGUUAGGGUUUCAGAAGAACCCAGAUGGCAACAAAUGUCUUGGAAAUCAUUUGUCUAAAUAAGAGAAGCCAAGAGUUAGGCUUAAAUAGCCAUGGCUAGCUGGAGCAAGGUCGAAGAUGACCGAAAAGAGCCAUAGAACUGAAGCCUCUUCAAGGUCUGGCCUUGAAACCAUAGAACUCGAACACAUUAAGGCCAAGAGAGGUAGAUACAGGCUUCAUAUUGCUUUGGAAGCCAUGGAUUUGGAAGAUUUUCAGGUGGUCGUUGAAGUCGGCGGCUUGGGUUUGAGAGAGAGUUUGAGAGAGAAUUGGAAGAGGG